rnacentral:sRNA from 1 species
GUGCGGAGCUAGGGCGGCCGAGAGCCAUGGCGGCGGUAGUGGCGGCGGCGGCAGCGCGAGCCCGGAUCCUGCAGGUUUCUUCCAAGGUGAAAUCCAAUUCCACCUGGUAUUCAGCAUCUUCCUUCUCUUCUUCAGUGGCCACCAAUGAGGUCAUUGGUCGGGUCCCUCAGGCCACCAAGGCAGAAAUGGAUGCAGCCAUUGCUUCCUGCAAACGUGCUUUUCCUGCAUGGGCAGACACUUCAGUAUUAAGCCGCCAGCAGGUCUUGCUCCGCUAUCAACAACUUAUUAAAGAAAACUUGAAAGAAAUUGCCAAGUUAAUCACAUUGGAACAAGGGAAGACCCUAGCUGAUGCUGAAGGAGAUGUAUUUCGAGGCCUUCGGCUGAAGAGAACAGGACAAAGCUAACUAGUACACAGUGUAGAGAGCUGAUGGCCUGACUUCUGUAUUCCAGAGGUGGUUGAGCAUGCCUGUAGUGUGACAUCCCUCAUGAUGGGAGAGACCAUGCCAUCCAUCACCAAAGACAUGGACCUUUAUUCCUACCGUCUGCCUCUGGGAGUGUGUGCAGGCAUUGCUCCAUUCAA